rnacentral:rRNA from 1 species
GAUGAACGCUGGCGGCGUGCCUAAUACAUGCAAGUCGAGCGAACAGACGAGGAGCUUGCUCCUUUGACGUUAGCGGCGGACGGGUGAGUAACACGUAGGUAACCUACCUAUAAGACUGGGAUAACUUCGGGAAACCGGAGCUAAUACCGGAUAAUAUUUCGAACCGCAUGGUUCGAUAGUGAAAGAUGGCUUUGCUAUCACUUAUAGAUGGACCUGCGCCGUAUUAGCUAGUUGGUAAGGUAACGGCUUACCAACGCAACGAUACGUAGCCGACCUGAGAGGGUGAUCGGCCACACUGGAACUGAGACACGGUCCAGACUCCUACGGGAGGCAGCAGUAGGGAAUCUUCCGCAAUGGGCGAAAGCCUGACGGAGCAACGCCGCGUGAGUGAUGAAGGUCUUCGGAUCGUAAAACUCUGUUAUUAGGGAAGAACAAACGUGUAGUAACUGUGCACGUCUUGACGGUACCUAAUCAGAAAGCCACGGCUAACUACGCG